rnacentral:rRNA from 1 species
AAAAACAUGUCUCUUUGUAAAAUAUAAAUAGAGAGUCGGGCCUGCUCGGUGAAUAAGUUUUUAACAGCUGCGGUAUUUUAACUGUACUAAGGUAGCAUAAUAAUUUGCCUUAUAAUUUGAGGCUAGAAUGAAUGGUUUGACGAAGGUUAAUCUGUCUCCACCUUAUUUUUUAGAAGUUAAUUUUUAAAGUGAAAAAGCUUAAAUCUUUCAAAGGGACGAGAAGACCCUAAUGAGCUUAUAAUUUUAUUAUCAUUAUUUAAAAUAUUUAGGUGGUGGUAUAUAAAUUUUAAUUGGGGUGAUUAAGGAAUAAAUUGUGUAUAGUAACUUCCUUAAAUUAGGUAUUUGUAGAUAAAGUAACCAAUGUAAUAUUGCUUAUAGUAUAGUUACCAUAGGGAUAACAGCGUAAUUUGUUUAGAGAGUUCUUAUUGAAAAACGAGAUUGCGACCUCGAUGUUGGAUUAAAGUAACCCUAGGGUGCAGAAGCUUUAGUAGGUAAAUCUGUUCGAUUUUUAAUACUUUACGUG